rnacentral:rRNA from 1 species
UAGGGAAUAUUGCACAAUGGGGAAGACCCUGAUGCAGCGACGCCGCGUGAAGGAAGAAGUAUCUCGGUAUGUAAACUUCUAUCAGCAGGGAAGACAAUGACGGUACCUGACUAAGAAGCCCCGGCUAACUAUGUGCCAGCAGCCGCGGUAAUACGUAGGGCGAAGCGUUAUCCGGAUUUACUGGGUGUAAAGGGAGCGUAGACGGAUCUGCAAGUCUGGAGUGAAAAGCCCGGGGCUCAACCCGGCAGCUGUUUGGCAAUGACUGUGGAUCUAGAGUGCCGGAGAGGUAAGCGGAAUUCCUAGUGUAGCGGUGAAAUGCGUAGAUAUUAGGAGGAACACCAGUGGCGAAGGCGGCUUACUGGACGGUAACUGACGUUGAGGCUCGAAAGCGUGGGGAGCAAACAGGAUUAGAUACCC